UUGAACAUGAAGGCGCAAAUCUCUCUGUAGUGAGCUCCCCAUCACUGGAGGAAUGCAAGCACUCAGAUGACCACUCAGAUGUGGAGAAGAUUCCCUGAGUUCCCGUCACUCUGGAGCCUGAACCCAAGCUCUGACCCAGAUGGCCCAAGUAUCUGGAAGAGGAGAAGACAGGUGACGAUGUGGCACCUUCAUGGCCUGCGAGGUGCUGCUUGCCAGCAGAAUGGGGAAAACACAGACUUCUGGGCCUGGCAGACCUUGGUUCAGGGUUUUCUGCAGAAUGAUGAUAACAGGUGCUUGGAGCCAGGCAGCUGCUCAAUAACUGCUCAUCAUCACCGUCCAAAGCCAAUGACCCUGAGUGGGCUGUACAACCCCCACCCUCUGUUGCCGCUUCCUGCUCUUCUUUGCCACAAGCAGCUCCUCUGAUCUGGGUGGAUCUCAGCCCCACUUCCUUCUGAGGUUGGGAGUCCAGAGUCCUGGAUCCAGAACGCAGCCUGGCCCCAGCAGACACCCAAGCCGGCCCAGGGGCCCUCUCGGCCCAGGAGGCUGGGGCCGGGUGGCAGCCUGAUCGCCUAUCUGUUGGUCCUCUGUCUUGGCCUGUCCUCGAGGCUGCUGGCCCUGGAGCCUCCCCGCCGCUCAUUGCCCAGUCCCUCCCUGCCCUGUAAGCUGUGUCUGUCCCCAUCUCCUAGCGUGCUGCACCCAGAGAGCUCCCGCAUCACCCCCAGCUCAGCACCCCUCGUUGGGGCAAAAACUCAAAUCUCAUUAAAGG
ensembl:lncRNA